CCGUCUGUGACUCUUGGUUUUCAUACCCCGUCUGGUCUUAGAACCAACCGUUGGUCACCAUCUGCGACCCAUACUUUUAAGACCCUAUCUGGUCUCAAGUCAAUGUUAAGUAAGUCACACCUGACCUAAAACGUUACAACUAUCUAAUUUCGGCUUUCCUUACCUCUGCUCACCAUCUGUGACGCAUGAUGUUCAGACCCCAUCUGGUCACGAAAUCAAACAUCAAGGUUACCGUCUGCAACCUGUCACUAUCUGUGAUCUAUCACCAUCUGUGACAUAAGAUCUUCUUAGACCCUAUCUGGUCUUAAGGUCAACGUUAAGUAAGUCAC
rnacentral:lncRNA from 1 species